CCUACGGGUGGCAGCAGUGAGGAAUAUUGGUCAAUGGGCGCGAGCCUGAACCAGCCAAGUAGCGUGAAGGAUGACUGCCCUACGGGUUGUAAACUUCUUUUAUAUGGGAAUAAAGUGAAGCACGUGUACCACUUUGUAUGUACUUUAUGAAUAAGGAUCGGCUAACUCCGUGCCAGCAGCCGCGGUAAUACGGAGGAUCCGAGCGUUAUCCGGAUUUAUUGGGUUUAAAGGGAGCGUAGGCGGGUUGUUAAGUCAGUUGUGAAAGUUAGCGGCGCAACCGUCAAAUUGCAAUUGAUACUGGCAGUCUUGAGUACAGUAGAGGUAGGCGGAAUUCGUGGUGUAGCAGUGAAAUGCUUAGAUAUCACGAAGAACUCCGAUUGCGAAGGCAGGUUGCUGGACUGUAACUGACGCUGAGGCACGAAGGUGUGGGUAGCGAAAAGGAUUAGAUACCCUUGUAGUC
rnacentral:rRNA from 1 species